AGCGCUUUGAGUACCUUGUAGGUAGAAAAGCGCUAUACAAGUACAACCCAUUUAUUUAUUUAUUUAUCUUUUGUAGGCUUCCAGUCCACCCACUUGUUAUUAGUGUUCUUACAUUUCCUAUUAACGGCCUUAAUCCAUCUUAUUUUCAUGUCUGGAUCUUUCAUGUAUAACUUUCUCCGACUUUCUAGGACGUGUUUUAUGCCACUUCUUUUUCUGUCUCCUUUUGUCCACCAAACUUUUAACGUUGUGCGUGAAUGCACAAAGGUGGGUUUUGUUAAUGUUGACUUGUGUGGAGUGCUCAUCAGACAUAUUUGGUCACUGCAUUAAUGCAAGCUAAUCGAUGCUAACAUGCUAUUUAGGCUAGCUAUAUGUACAUAUUGCAUCAUUAUGCCUCAUUAGUAGGUAUAUUUGAGGUCAUUUAGUUUCCUUUAAGUCCUCUUAAUUCAAUGUAUAUCUCAUGACACACUAUCUGUAUGUAAUAUGGCUUUUCAUUUUUUGCGGCUCCAGACAGAUUUGUUUUUGUAUUUGCCCCCCGCGACCCCGAAGGGAAUAAGCGGUAGAAAAUGGAUGGAUGAAUGGAUGGAUUUUUGGUCCAAUAUGGCUCUUUCAACAUUUUGGGUUGCCGACCCCUGGACUAGACGUAUAAGAUUUCAUGGAAUUUAACGAUUAAGAGUGACAGAUUGUUUGGUAAACGUAUAGCAUGUUCUAUAUGUUAUAGUUAUUUGAAUGACUCUUACCUUAAUAUGUUACAUUAACAUACCAGGCACGUUCGCAGUGGGGUUUUUUAUGCGUCAUAUAAUGUACACUUAUUAAGCCUGUUCACUAUUCUUUAUUUAUUUUAAAUUGCCUUUCAAAUGUCUAUUCUUGGUGUUGGGUUUUAUCAAAAAAAAUUCCCCAAAAAAUGCGACUUAUAUGUUUUUUUCCCUCUUUAUUAUGCAUUUUCGGCCGGUGCGACUUAUACUCCGGAGCGUUUUAUACUCCGAAAAAUGCUGUAAAAGAACAUCCCAACACAUCAUCAAGGUUUUAUAUACACGCUGUAAGUAUAUAUGUAAUGUAGUAAUGGGCACAAUAAAAAUAACAUGUAAUAUUUACGUAUUUUGCUCAUUUUAAGCAUACAGCGGUGCAUUAACUUCAAAAACGCAUCUGUGACAGUUUGACCCCAUACUGUCACUGUUUGACCUUUGGACUUCCUCACAAACUGUGCACAUUUGUUGGGAAGCUCAACAUGGACACAAACAUUCAAUCUUGUUAGCCAGUGAAAAGCAUGUGCUUAACAAACAAAUUGUUACCUGUCACUCACCAUGGCUCUGAACAAUUGACCAAAAGAGUCAGGGUGGGGUUGAGGUCUUUAUAUAGGUGACCACACCUGCAUUCACUAAUUAGGCCAAAUUUGGGUCGAACCAUGAUCCUCAAAAGCUGGGUGUUACAGAAGGACACUGGACAUUUAAAAGUUGUGUUGUCUAAGCCUGAAUAUACUGUGUUCAAAAAAAUUACUGCUCUACACAUGCAAAAGUACUAUGUCAAUACUUUUUAGACAUGUGAUGGUUAUUUAUGGUGUAAUUUACAAAAUAACUGUUUUCUUAAUUCCCCCUGUCAAAUUGGUCCCAGCUAGUGGGCGGGGCUAAGGGCUAUUUAAGUUGGAAAAUGCCGUUUUUCUGACAGUCUGCUGUCGGUCACUGCCAGAGGAGGAUCUCUGUCCUGAGCAAGAGUUUCGGUCUCCAUGCAUCAAACAUCUACUGAGUUCUAAACUGGAUGCCAAAUUUGACCAACUCACCAGAAUAUGUCUUCAUCCUAUCAAGUCCUCUCGGAGGUCGAGACGAAUAGGAGACCCCUCUGACCCCGGCCGCAUGAGCGAGACCGUGGAGGUGAUGGACGUGAUCGCCCUUUGCUGCCCCAAGUACAAGGAGCGGCCUCAAAUAGCGCGCGUGGUCCAGAAAACCCCCAGCGGCUACACCAUCCACUGGAUGGCCGGCUCCUACUCGGGGCCCUGGGCGGAGGCCAAGAAGCGGGAAGGACGCAGACUGGUGCCUUGGGUGGACACUAUCAAGGAGUCGGACAUCCUUUACAAGAAGCUCGCCUUGACCAGCAACCACAAACUGAGCAACAAAAUAGGCCAGACUUUACGCUCACUGUAUGCAGCGCGGGAGGGAGGAGCUAGCUAAUGGCUCCUGUGCUUUUUUUUGUUGGUUUUCUUUUUGUCCCCGCUCCCAUUUUUACAUGAUGAAAGUCCUCUUUCUCCUCCUCCUCCACCUCAAGAGGCAGCCUCCAACCACACAGCCAAACGUCACUGGAUUCACACGCCCUCCCUAAUUUUUUUAUAAGAAAACACAAGAGGGCGUGACUAUUUGACACUACAUACUUUUACAUGAGCUAUUCUUUCAAGAAAACGACUGAUUAUAUUCGAGGGACGGCUCAUGUUUGUCUAUGUACACGUGCAGAGGAUAGGAUCCAGGAGGCAUUCAAGAAAUAGUUGGCUGAAAUGAUCUCUUCAAAGGCUACCAGAGGAGAACCUGGAGGGAAAUGUUUUGUCAACAUUGUCAUGGAAGCUCCUUCGCUGUUGUGCAGCCAAUUCUAGACGCUCAUUUCUACUCCCACUGUAUUAUAAUGAUAAAUGGGUUGUACUUGUAUAGCGCUUUUCUACCUUCAAGGUACUCAAAGCGCUUUGACACUACUUCCACAUUUACCCAUUCACACACACAUUCACACACUGAUGGAGGGAGCUGCCAUGCAAGGCGCUAACCAGCAGCCAUCAGGAGCAAGGGUGAAGUGUCUUGCUCAGGACACAACGGACAUGACGAGGUUGGUACUAGGUGGGGAUUGAACCAGGGACCCUCGGGUCGCGCACGGCCACUCUUCCACUGCGCCACGCCGUCCCCCCUAUUAUAGUUUAACACAACAAAAACUAAAAAUGUUUAUCAGAAUCAGAAUCAGCUUUAUUGUCAUUACGCAAGGUAACGAGAUUGAGGCCAUUCCAUACAGUGCGAUGUGUGCAUGCUAGAAAAACAAUGUGCAAAUAUAUAAAAAUAUAAAAAAUGUAGAAGUGCAAUGAAUAUGGUGUGAAAUGAAUAUAUACAUGAAAAAACAAAAACAAAAACAGGUUGGUUGGUGGAAUGGGUUAUUGCACCGAAGAGAAGGCAGUUAUGAGGGACAAUGGGGCAGUCCGUUCAGGAUGGUUAUGGCCCUGGGGAAGAAGCUGUUCUUUAGCCUGUUUGUUUUGGUUUUAAUGCACCUGUAGCGCUUCCCAGAGGGCAGCAGGUGGAACAGGUCAGAGCCAGGGUGGGUGCUGUCCUUGAUGAUGGCACUGGCUCUGUUGAGGCAGCGGGAGGUGUAGAUGUCCGUCAGAGAGGGGAGAGGGCGGCCGAUGAUCUUCUGUCUAUCUUAUAUCUCUGAAGACAAAAAAACUGUAAAAAAAAAAGAAUAAAACCUUAAGUGAAUGUUGGAAAUUAGUCUUUUUGAUGUUCUUAUUAAAGUGUUUUUUUGAAUUUAUGAUACUACUAGCACCUAAUGUUUUUUUUUUUUUUCAUUUUAGCUUUUAGAUAUUUGAAAGAAAACAAAACAAAAAGAGAAAAAAAAAAACAAGGAUUUUUAUUUUUGUUCCAUUUUUAUUUGUCCAUGCUGUACAAUGGCAAGAGUCCUCUGAAUAUAAUUUAUUCUAUUUCAAACUACGCAUGCAGUAUAUGUGGCCUAUUGCAGGAGGAUAUUUUGUAAAUGUAGAUUUUGUUGUAUUAGGUCACCUUAGUAAUAAGAGGAAAAGGGGAUUCAUAACCUUUUUUUGGUGAAACAAAUACUGCAAUAAAUUUUCUACUUCUCUUUGUCA